rnacentral:tRNA from 1 species
GCCCCUGUAGUGUAGUGGCCUAUCAUCCUGGCUUGUCGAGCCAGGGACACGGAUUCGAAUUCCGUCGGGGGCGCCA